rnacentral:rRNA from 1 species
GUGGAGAGAUCACUAGUGAGAAUGAUGACAUGAGUAGCGACAAAGAGUGUGAGAGACACUCUCGCCGAAAAUCCAAGGGUUCCUGCUUAAAGCUAAUCUGAGCAGGGUAAGCCGACCCCUAAGGCGAGGCCGAAAGGCGUAGUCGAUGGGAACCAGGUUAAUAUUCCUGGGCCAGAUGGAAGUGACGGAUCUCGAGGGUAGUUCAUCCUUAUCGGAUUGAAUGGGCUGCUUAGAGGUCCCUGGAAAUAGCUCCAUCGCUAGAUCGUACCCUAAACCGACACAGGUGGAUAGGUAGAGAAUACCAAGGCGCUUGAGAGAACUAUGUUGAAGGAACUCGGCAAAAUACCUCCGUAAGUUCGCGAGAAGGAGGCCCGGUUUCUAGGCAACUAGAGGCUGGGGGCACAAACCAGGGGGUGGCGACUGUUUAUUAAAAACACAGGGCUCUGCGAAGUCGUAAGACGACGUAUAGGGUCUGACGCCUGCCCGGUGCCUGAAGGUUAAAAGGAGGGGUGAGAGCUCUGAAUUGAAGCCCAGGUAAACGGCGGCCGUAACUAUAACGGUCCUAAGGUAGCGAAAUUCCUUGUCGGGUAAGUUCCGACCUGCACGAAUGGCGUAACGACUUCCCCGCUGUCUCCAACAUAGACUCAGCGAAAUUGAAUUACCGGUCAAGAUGCCGGUUACCCGCGGUUAGACGGAAAGACCCCGUGCACCUUUACUACAACUUCACACUGGCAUUAGGCCGAACAUGUGCAGGAUAGGUGGUGGGCUUUGAAGCGUGGACGCCAGUCUGCGUGGAGCCUCCCUUGAGAUACCACCCUUGUUCUGCUUGAUGUCUAACCGCGGUCCGUUAUCCGGAUCCGGGACCCUGUGUGGUGGGUAGUUUGACUGGGGCGGUCGCCUCCUAAAUCGUAACGGAGGCGCGCGAAGGUUGGCUCAGAGCGGUCGGAAAUCGCUCGUUGAGUGCAAUGGCAGAAGCCAGCCUGACUGCGAGACUGACAAGUCGAGCAGAGUCGAAAGACGGCCAUAGUGAUCCGGUGGUCCCAAGUGGGAGGGCCAUCGCUCAACGGAUAAAAGGUACGCCGGGGAUAACAGGCUGAUACUGCCCAAGAGUCCAUAUCGACGGCAGUGUUUGGCACCUCGAUGUCGGCUCAUCUCAUCCUGGGGCUGGAGCAGGUCCCAAGGGUACGGCUGUUCGCCGUUUAAAGAGGUACGUGAGCUGGGUUUAGAACGUCGUGAGACAGUUCGGUCCCUAUCUUCCGUGGGUGUAGGAUACUUGAGAGGAGUUGCCCCUAGUACGAGAGGACCGGGGUGAACGAUCCACUGGUGGACCAGUUGUUAUGCCAAUAGCAGUGCUGGGUAGCUAUGAUCGGACAGGAUAACCGCUGAAGGCAUCUAAGCGGGAAGCCCCCCUCAAAACAAGGUAUCCCUGAGAGCCGAGGUAGACCACCUCGUCGAUAGGCCAGAGAUGUAAGCGUAGUAAUACGUUCAGUUGACUGGUACUAAUUGCUCGAUAGGCUUGAUU